CAGGGCGUCAUAGAGGGUGAGAAUCCCGUACGUGGCCGGCGGUCAAUUCCGUGUGAAACCCCUUCGACGAGUCGAGUUGUUUGGGAAUGCAGCUCAAAAUGGGUGGUAAAUUUCAUCUAAAGCUAAAUACCGGCCAGAGACCGAUAGCGCACAAGUAGAGUGAUCGAAAGAUGAAAAGCACUUUGGAAAGAGAGUUAAAAAGUACGUGAAAUUGUUGAAAGGGAAGCGCUUGCAACCAGACUUGCUCGCGGGUGAUCAGCCUCCCUUUGGGGGGGUGCACUCACCCGUGGUCAGGCCAGCAUCGGUUUUGGCGGGUGGAUAAAGUCCCCGGGAAUGUGGCUCCCCUCGGGGAGUGUUAUAGCCUGGGGCGCAAUGCGCCCAGCCGGGACCGAGGACCGCGCUUCGGCUAGGAUGCUGGCGUAAUGGUUGUAAGCGACCCGUCUUGAAACACGGACCAAGGAGUCUAACGUCUAUGCGAGUGUUUGGGUGUCAAGCCCAUGCGCGGAAUGAAAGUGAACGCAGGUGGGAGCCCUCCCGGGGGCGCACCAUCGACCGAUCCUGAUGUCUUCGGAUGGAUUUGAGUAGGAGCAUGGCUGUUGGGACCCGAAAGAUGGUGAACUAUGCCUGAAUAGGGUGAAGCCAGAGGAAACUCUGGUGGAGGCUCGCAGCGGUUCUGACGUGCAAAUCGAUCGUCAAAUUUGGGUAUAGGGGCGAAAGACUAAUCGAACCAUCUAGUGACCAUCACUACUAGAGACACCAACCGGAGGGCCAAGCGAGGCUCCAGUAGUCCCUGUGUAUGGGGCGACAUUGCCGGUCUCCGGGGACGUCUUCUGGACUACCCGGACUGAGCUCAGGCUCAGUCACAGACUAAGUGGCGGUGGCCGCGGGUGCCCGCGGUUAGGAUAUAGUCGGCGGGCCCUGACGGGCG
rnacentral:rRNA from 1 species